rnacentral:snoRNA from 1 species
AGCCUCAUGGUGCUUACCCCCAGGCUGUAUUCUUAUACUGGCUGCACAGAAAGGAGUAAAAUCCACCCAUCUACACCACAGCCCAGGCCCUUUGCCUGGUCUGUACUACGAAUGGGAGGGCAUGG